rnacentral:rRNA from 1 species
AAAUUGAAGAGUUUGAUCAUGGCUCAGAUUGAACGCUGGCGGCAGGCCUAACACAUGCAAGUCGAACGGUAACAGGAAGCAGCUUGCUGCUUCGCUGACGAGUGGCGGACGGGUGAGUAAUGUCUGGGAAACUGCCUGAUGGAGGGGGAUAACUACUGGAAACGGUAGCUAAUACCGCAUAACGUCGCAAGACCAAAGAGGGGGACCUUCGGGCCUCUUGCCAUCGGAUGUGCCCAGAUGGGAUUAGCUAGUAGGUGGGGUAACGGCUCA